rnacentral:lncRNA from 10 species
AAUAAUUGUCUUCCCAGUUGGAUAUUUUUUGGGGGCUUUGACUGUGUCUUUUUGCUUCUUUUAACAUGUUUCUUGCUGGGUCUUGUCUCGCUUAUAAGGCAGGAACCCAGACCCCUGCAACGAGUCGCACUCUGGUAUUUCCAGAAGCCCUGGAUGGCUUUAUAUGUGCUCCCAUACAAUUAGUUCAGCCAUCUUUGUCUCUUAACACUGUUCCAGAACUCUCUGCGCAGACCAUGACAUCUUCCUGGCAUCACUGAUACUUCCACUGGGCACUGCUAUGCCCUCUUGUCACUGCCUUACCAGCUGCAGAAAAUGACUAUAGUUGCUCCCUUUAUUUUCUUUCUUUUUCUGAUGUGUGUGUAUUUCCAAUUUCCCCCCUCCCUUUCUGCUACUAUUUAUUUAGUCCCCAGGUGACUGGAUAGCUAGAUAGGAUUUUGACUGCACUGGAAAAGGAAUAAACACCACCCAGAGCUGGAAACACUGACCAUGAGACAUGGAGUCUUUCCUCCUGCGGGGAAGGGAUGGACAUUUUCAUUUGUAGAAGGGCUAGUUGUAUAAGGGGAGCCGUGGAGAAAAUGGUAGUUUUCACCAUGGAAUACUAUGCAGCCAUAAAAAGGAAUGAGAUUGUGUCCUCAGCAGGGACAUGGAUAAAGCUGGAAGCCAUUAUCCUCAGCAAACUAACACAGGAACAGAAAACCAAACACUGCAUGUUCCUGCUUACAAGUGGGAGCUGAAUGAAGAGAACACAUGGACACAGGGAGGGGAAAAACACAUAGUGGGGCCUGUUGAGGGGUGGGAGGGAGAGCAUCAGGAAGAAUAGCUAAUGGAUGCUGGGCUUGAUACCUAGGUGAUGGGUUGAUCUGUGUAGCAAACCACCGUGGCACACAUUUACCUGUGUAACAAACCUGCACAUCCUGCACAUGUACCCAGGAACUUAAAAUAAAAGUUGAGGAUAAAA